GUCUGGUCCAAGUGCAGUGGUAUUUACAACGAAUAGAUCACAACAGUUGCAGCUUUCUUCAUUCCUUAUGCACUCCCACUUCUUCACUUGACUAGCCUUUA
rnacentral:Y_RNA from 1 species